UACGUAGGGUGCGAGCGUUAAUCGGAAUUACUGGGCGUAAAGCGUGCGCAGGCGGUUGUGUAAGACAGAUGUGAAAUCCCCGGGCUUAACCUGGGAACUGCAUUUGUGACUGCACAGCUGGAGUGCGGAAGAGGGGGAUGGAAUUCCGCGUGUAGCAGUGAAAUGCGUAGAUAUGCGGAGGAACACCGAUGGCGAAGGCAAUCCCCUGGGCCUGCACUGACGCUCAUGCACGAAAGCGUGGGGAGCAAACAGG
rnacentral:rRNA from 1 species